GAUGAACGCUGGCGGCGUGCCUAAUACAUGCAAGUCGAGCGAACAGACGAGGAGCUUGCUCCUCUGACGUUAGCGGCGGACGGGUGAGUAACACGUGGAUAACCUACCUAUAAGACUGGGAUAACUUCGGGAAACCGGAGCUAAUACCGGAUAAUAUAUUGAACCGCAUGGUUCUAUAGUGAAAGACGGUUUUGCUGUCACUUAUAGAUGGAUCCGCGCCGCAUUAGCUAGUUGGUAAGGUAACGGCUUACCAAGGCAACGAGGCGUAGCCGACCUGAGAGGGUGAUAGGCGACACUGGAAGUGAGACACGGUCCAGACUCCUACGGGAGGCAGCAGUAGGGAAUCUUACGCAAUGGGCGAAAGCCUGACGGAGCAACGCCGCGUGAGUGAUGAAGGUCUUCGGAUCGUAAAACUCUGUUAUUAGGGAAGAACAAAUGUGUAAGUAACUAUGCACGUCUUGACGGUACCUAAUCAGAAAGCCACGGCUAACUACGUG
rnacentral:rRNA from 1 species